UCCCCACGUCCCUGUCCCCCCCCCAGGAGACGCUGCGGACGGCGCUGGCGGUGGGGGCCGACCGGGCGGUGCUGGCUGAGGUGGGGGAGGGGGCGGCCCCGGGACCCCGGGAGGUGGCGCUGGCUCUGGCCGGGCUGGUGGGGAGACUGGGACCCGACCUGGUGCUGCUGGGGAAGCAGGCCAUCGAUGACGACUGUAACCAGACGGCGCAGCUCCUGGCCGCCAUCUUGGACUGGCCGCAGGGCACCUUCGCCUCGGGGGUGUCCCUGGAGGAGGGGGGGCUGCGGGUGCAGCGGGAGGUGGACGGGGGGCGGGU